rnacentral:tRNA from 1 species
AGUCCUGAGGUGUUAACAUAUGAGAUUGCAAAUCUUAAGUAGCCGGUUGACGCCGGCCGGGGCUU